UCCGCCUUGCGACGGCAGUAUCCUGUGAGUCCCCGGCAUUACCCGCUGGCAACACAGGACAAGGGUUGCGCUCGUUGAGUCACUUAAGACCACACCUCACGGCACGAGCUGACGACAGCCAUGCACCACCUGUGAUCGGGUCCCGAAGGAAGACCGGCUUUCACCGGCUGUCCCGAACAUGUCAAGCCCAGGUAAGGUUCUUCGCGUUGCGUCGAAUUAAACCACAUGCUCCACUGCUUGUGCAGGUCCCCGUCUAUUCCUUUGAGUUUUAGCCUUGCGGCCGUACUCCCCAGGCGGGGUGCUUAACGCGUUAGCUUAGACACCGGAGGAGUCGACACCUCCGACAUCGAGCACCCAUCGUUUACGGCGUGGACUAC
rnacentral:misc_RNA from 1 species